GAUGAACGCUGGCGGCGUGCCUAAUACAUGCAAGUCGAGCGAACAGACGAGGAGCUUGCUCCUCUGACGUUAGCGGCGGACGGGUGAGUAACACGUGGAUAACCUACCUAUAAGACUGGGAUAACUUCGGGAAACCGGAGCUAAUACCGGAUAAUAUAUUGAACCGCAUGGUUCAAUAGUGAAAGACGGUUUUGCUGUCACUUAUAGAUGGAUCCGCGCCGCAUUAGCUAGUUGGUAAGGUAACGGCUUACCAAGGCGACGAUGCGUAGCCGACCUGAGAGGGUGAUCGGCCACACUGGAACUGGGACACGGUCCAGGCUCCUACGGGAGGCAGCAGUAGGGAAUCUUCCGCAAUGGGCGAAAGCCUGACGGAGCAACGCCGCGUGAGUGAUGAAGGUCUUCGGAUCGUAAAACUCUGUUAUUAGGGAAGAACAAAUGUGUAAGUAACUAUGCACGUCUUGACGGUACCUAAUCAGAAAGCCACGGCUAACUACGUG
rnacentral:rRNA from 1 species